UAACGCGUAGGUAACCUGCCUUGUAGCGGGGGAUAACUAUUGGAAACGAUAGCUAAUACCGCAUAACAAUGGGUGACUCAUGUCAUUUAUUUGAAAGGGGCAAAUGCUCCACUACAAGAUGGACCUGCGUUGUAUUAGCUAGUAGGUGAGGUAACGGCUCACCUAGGCGACGAUACAUAGCCGGCCUGAGAGGGUGAUCGGCCACACUGGGACUGAGACACGGCCCAG
rnacentral:rRNA from 1 species